AAAUUCUUACAUAAUAGCGUUAAUGCACCGAAUCCCAUUAGAACUCCAUGGUUAAGCGCGUUCAGGCUAGAGUAGUAUGGGGAUGGGUGAUGGCCCAGGAAGUCCUCAUAUUUUGGAUGUC
rnacentral:rRNA from 1 species